rnacentral:rRNA from 1 species
CCUACGGGAGGCAGCAGUGAGGAAUAUUGGUCAAUGGACGAGAGUCUGAACCAGCCAAGUAGCGUGAAGGAUGACUGCCCUAUGGGUUGUAAACUUCUUUUAUAUGGGAAUAAAAUGUUCCACGUGUGGGAUUUUGUAUGUACCAUAUGAAUAAGGAUCGGCUAACUCCGUGCCAGCAGCCGCGGUAAUACGGAGGAUCCGAGCGUUAUCCGGAUUUAUUGGGUUUAAAGGGAGCGUAGGUGGAUUGUUAAGUCAGUUGUGAAAGUUUGCGGCUCAACCGUAAAAUUGCAGUUGAAACUGGCAGUCUUGAGUACAGUAGAGGUGUGCGGAAUGCGUGGUGUAGCGGUGAAAUGCUUAGAUAUCACGAAGAACUCCGAUUGCGAAGGCAGUUCACUGGACUGCAACUGACACUGAGGCUCGAAAGUGUGGGUAUCAAACAGGAUUAGAUACCCGAGUAGUC